AAGGAUAACUUCAAAGUCCCCGACGCCAGUGCAGGUGCAGGAAGCGCCGCGGAAACAACAACUUUGGGAGUCUUUGUAGCGCCUUCCUCACCCACCCCCGCCCUCCGCCCCACCCCAUACCAGUGCCCUCGAGUGCCCUCCGCCCCACCCCAGACCAGUGCCCUCCACUGGCCGCACACGGCACUUCCUCCCAGCACCCCGGAUCGUGGCGACCCACGCGCACGAUCGCCCCCAGCCCGGGUCCCAGGCCAGAGGGCCGGCUGCCCGCCGCAGCCGAGGCGCGCACCCGGCGCCCUCUCCAUCCCAGCGAAGACGACUCGGUGCGGAGCAGCAAAGCGGUCACGCGGACACGUGCAGAGGCUACUUUUAAAGUCGGUCCAGGAGCAGGACAAAAAGGACAAGACGUCCUCCCAUCCCGGCGCCCCUACCGAGCACUCUUCCCCGAGUGCCAGACGGCUGGCACAAUUCCGCGGGCUCCUGCUGUCAACAGGAGCAGCGAGACCUCACGGAGAAGCAUAUAGCACGCCAAGCGGCUUGCCCGAGACGCUGCCACUCUGCUUCUGUGCACCCGGCAUCCCCUAGCCCACCCCAGGAGACAAGAAACGCCUUACAGGGGGGAAUCACAGAAAACAACUAGAGCGGGGCAGCACCAGAGACGAACGCACAUCUGGUCUGCAUCCACCUGACAUAAAAUCCUGAGAUCCAAACACAGAUGAGCUCAAGACAGGGCCUUCUAUUUCUACAGCAGUCGCGGUAAUCCACCCUUGAAGAGAUCUAGCUCAGCUGGGCCUGUCUUCUCAGACAGCAGGAAUACUGGCUUGUAGACAUAUCCCUUGGACACCCCAGGUCUCUAAAGUAUACAGACAACUCCGUACACACAGCCCUUUUAACUCUGUGCAGACAACCUUUUUAACUCUGAUGGAUAGAUUAUUUUAAAUAUUAUUACUUCUUUCCAAGCAUUACUAGCAGCUUUAAAAAAAAAUAGAUCACUUAAUUUAUCACCUAAGUCAGUAUCUUCAAAGUUCUGUCCGACUUCCAGGCCUUACUCUGGGCCCUGUCACUUCUAUAAAUACAUGUUAUAAUAAGGCCUCCAUUAAAAAGAGAAUGUGUUUCAAUAACACGUUAUUGUAAGAAUCUUUAUUACUGACAAUAGACAUAGGCUGUAUAAGGUGUACUCAAGGAUGUUAGUGGCUCAGUGGUAAAGAAUCUGCCUGCCCAUCCAGGAGACAUGGGUUCGAUCCCUGGGUUGGGAAGAUCCCCUGGAGAAGGAAACAGCAACCCACUCCAGUAUUCUUGCCUGGAGAAUCCCAUGGGCAGAGGAGCCUGGCGGGCUACAGCCCACAGGGUUGCAAAGAGUUGGACACGACUUAGUAACUAAACAAUAAGGAUGUCAGAACAGGAAAGCUCGUAUGUAAAAUAUUAACACUUGGUGAUGAGAGGGGCAAGGAUAGUCAAAAUCAAUAGGUCAGGGAUAACUCCUCCUGAAGGAGAAGCAAUAAGUUCAAUUGCUAUUUUUGUUUAGUAAUUAAGGCAUGUCUGACUCUGCAACCCCAUGGAUUGUAGCUCACCAGGCUCCUCUGUCCAUGGGAUUUUCCAGGCAAGAAUACUAGAGUGGGUUGCCAUUUCCUCCUUCGGAGAAUCUUCCUGAACUAGGGAUCAAACCUGAGUCUCUCACAUCUCCUGCAUUGGAGUUCCUUUAUCACUGAUAAAGGGAAGCCCAAGAAGUGUGAUGACC
rnacentral:lncRNA from 1 species